ensembl:lncRNA
GGAAGAAUGUAUCAACCUGGGAACUGGAGUUCUCAGGAAGAGAGGGUGCCCUCAUUCCUCUGAAGGAAAGACAGAGGUUUUGUCAUAUACAAGAGACAAUGGCAGAAGUCUAGGAGAACUCUACGGAGAAGAUGAAAAGAAAAGGAAGAGGUGGUGGCCAUUCUGUAGAAACAAGAGGAAUGUGUAAUAUUCACAUUUUCCUUAUACAAGUUUUUUGAGAAUUACUGCUUCAAAGAACACAUAAACAGCCUGUGAUUGGCCUCUCUUUAUGUCACCCGGGAUCCCUUUGGGGUAUGAGGGCACAAUGGGAGUGCACACAGGAGAGAGAGUGACCUUUCCUAGUGCUGGACCAAGAGCUUAAACCUCCAGGCCAGGGUCAAUGAGUUAUUUUCUUCCCUUGGGGGACAUGUGCUUGAGCUGUCUCAUAAUUAGACUCCUAAGCACAGAAUUACUUUGAAUGUAGGGGGUCUUUUUUAAAUAUAUAAAUUUUCCUCAUAGAUAUGAAUCUAAGUGAAUUCAGGUGAGAACUGUCAGGCAGGCUGAAAGCCAGGAGGGAUCCAGUGUGUCCCCAAAUCUCUAUGAUGUCUAUGAAGGUUUCCGAGAGACAGCAGUGAGAAGGCACACCAGGAGCUGGGGAGCACUCAUGUGCGAAGAACAAGGAAGAGGAUAAUUUGGCCCUACUCAACCGGAGUGGUGGAUCCAAAGUUGGUAGAGUUAUCAUGGCGGAGCAUCUUUGGCAGCAGUGUGGAGGAGGGACUGGAGUGCAGAGAGGCUUGAGGCCAAGAGACCAGUGCAGAGGUCCCUGCAGGACUCCGGGCUACAGACAAUGAGGACCUCACCUCCAGUAGAAUCUCAAACGAGGGUUGUCCUCCCAAGUAGCCUCACGGGGAGAUUCUACACUCCUCCUAAUAAUGCCUUCCUUGCUGCAGACGUUUUUGGAAUCACCUUUGGAAGAAGCUCCCUAAAGGAACUAGAAAUCCACCGUCACACUGAAGCCACCCGAGUGUUAGGGGUGCGAUGGCUCACCUCGGCCAUCUGCUUUAUUGCUGAAUGAACAGCCGCCUGGCUUAUUUCUUAAAUAUGAUGCUUCUUCCAACACUGAAAGCACCCCGGCUCCAAGGAGGUUCCCAAAGACAUGCCCUGUGAAAAGUAGAGCCUCUCCUCGUGACCGUUUGCCGAGCGACUGACCCUCCUCCAGGUCUUAAAGUGACUCAGUCUGUUUCCAAAUGGCUUCUCUGACCACCUCCAUGCUCCUACCCGCCAUGUCCUCCCUCCUCCUCUUGGCCUCUUGGAAUCCCUGGAUUCCUUCAAGACUUAACUCAAGUGACGCCUCCUGUGGGAAGCCUCCCCUGAUCACUCCCACCCCACCCUAUUCAAUGAUGCUCUUUAUGUCUGAGAUUACUUUGUAUUUCUUGUACAUUAGAGAGGCAGUAGAUCAGAGUCGAUAGGAAGCCAGCCUCCAAGGCAACCUGAUCUGGGCUAAGAGUCACCUCUGGUGGAUACUGGCUUAAAGACCUUGUCAUUCAUUUUUUAUUAUUAUUUAGUCGAUGGGUCAUGUCCAGCUCUUUGCACCCCAUUUGGGGUUUUCCUGGCAAAGAUACUGGAACGAUUUGCUACUUCCUGCUCCAGCUCAUUUGACAGAUAGGGAAGUAAGGUAAACAGUUAAAAGACAGCCAGUAUCUGUGGCCGGACUCGAAUUCAGAUCCUCUUGACUUUAUCCACUGAACCACUUAGCUACCCCUAAUUACCCCUGGCAAAUCAGUCAACUUCCCGGUGUUGUAGGGCAAUAGUGUGAAACUCAAAUCGAAACAGGGUCCACUAGAUACACAGAAGCAUCCCUGCGGGCUCCAUGUUGACUUAGAAAACCACAGAUUUUUAAGGUUUCUUUUUACUACGUCGGCACAUUAAAAUCACGUAGGGACUGCAAUUUACUCUGGUUCAGGCUGCCCCCGCCCCGUUCCCCCAUUUGGCACCUCCUGGCAGUUCUCUAAAACCAACAAAGCAGGUACCAAUCUGUGUCAGAAGAACGGCUCUCCUCACCCAGGAAAGCAGGUCGAGCCCCUUCUCAUAUAUUUUACGAUCUGCUUCAUCUGAAAGUGAAGGGGAGAAGUGACCGUGUCCCACCCCCCUUGUUAGGCUGUCUGCCCAGGAUUGCUGGAAGAAGCCUCUACCCAAGCAGGACUGCCUUAAGUGGGACAAGUCGAUGGUGUAACUCCUAGGGGUCGCUUUCCCAUUGGAGGUCUGGAACUGGUGUGAGGAAGGAAGACAGAAUCUGCCUGGGAUUGGCUUGCAUCAUGGAUGAAAAAAAAAAAAGCUCCUGGAUUGGACUUGCUGACCCAGUAGGGGUCUGACUGCUUUACGAAAGAAAUCUCGGGAUUGUCCUUAGAAAUGGCAGACCCACCCGUACAGGUGGACCAAGGUUAAGUCGCUGAGGAUUACCCUGGUCUUUCCCAUCCACAGAGAGUGGGUGGCAGUUAGACCCAAAUAAAAAAGGCUCAGAAAAAGACCA